rnacentral:misc_RNA from 1 species
GGCAACCCAUACUGACUGCCCUGAAGUUCUUAUUUGGGAUGUUGAAGCCCAACCUAACCGUCAUGCUGUCCUUGGAGCAGCUGAUUCUCGUCCAGAUUUGGUAUUGACUGGACAUCAAGAGAAUGCUGAAUUUGCUCUCGCUAUGUGUCCUACUGAGCCCUUAGUGCUCUCUGGAGGGAAGGACAAGUCUGUUGUCUUGUG